rnacentral:rRNA from 1 species
GACAGAGGUGCCGAGCGUUAGGCGGAAUCACUGGGCUUAAAGCGUGUGGAGGCGGAUGGGUAAGUACCUUGUGAAAUCCCACGGCUCAACCGUGGAACUGCUCGGUAUACUGCUCGUCUUGAGCCAACUAGGGGCGACCGGAACAAACGGUGGAGCGGUGAAAUGCGUAGAUAUCGUUUGGAACGCCGAUGGUGAAAACAGGUCGCUGGGGUUGUGCUGACGCUGAGACACGAAAGCCAGGGGAGCGAACGGG